rnacentral:rRNA from 1 species
UACGGAAGGCAGCAGUGGGGAAUAUUGCACAAUGGGCGCAAGCCUGAUGCAGCCAUGCCGCGUGUAUGAAGAAGGCCUUCGGGUUGUAAAGUACUUUCAGUCGUGAGGAAGGUGUUAAGGUUAAUAACCUUAGCAAUUGACGUUAGCGACAGAAGAAGCACCGGCUAACUCCGUGCCAGCAGCCGCGGUAAUACGGAGGGUGCGAGCGUUAAUCGGAAUUACUGGGCGUAAAGGGCACGCAGGCGGUUAAUUAAGUUGGAUGUGAAAUCCCCGGGCUUAACCUGGGAAUGGCAUCAAGACUGGUUAGCUAGAGUCUUGUAGAGGGGGUAGAAUUCCAUGUGUAGCGGUGAAAUGCGUAGAGAUGUGGAGGAAUACCGGUGGCGAAGGCGGCCCCUGGACAAAGGACUGACGCUCAUGUGCGAAAGCGUGGGGAGCAAACAGGGAUUAGAUACC